UUUUUUUUUCAGAUAAAGGAGGCUCCAAGCCCCGCCCGGAGCCCAACAUUGGGCUUGAACUCAGAUCAAGAACUGAGCUGAGAUCAAGAGUUGGACACUUCACCUACUGAGCCACCCAGAACAACCCGAAGGAUGAGAAGAAGACAGCCAGCCUGAGAAAGGGCCAAAGAGCCUGAGAAGUAGUUUUUGAAGUAAAUGGAGAAAGUGCAGAGAUCUGAGGGUAAUCUGUGAAACUGUUCUUCCUAUCAGGACCAAAAUGGCUAACAAGAAAUGUGGUUUUAAUGGCUCUUCCUGGAUUCUGACUCCAUUUGCCAAUCCGUGCCCUGCCUCUUGAAGAAAUUCUGGGCUGAAGGAUUGUGUCUCAAGGCAUCAUCCAGGAAGUGUGAAGAUGAUGAGACCUACAGUAAUUCCAGUGUGUGAUUCAGGUCAGAUGCCCUCGAGAAAAUCUUGAACUUUAGAAUUCUUAAAGCCUUUUUGUUUUCAUAGAACAUCAUAUAUUCUUUUCAAUUAUUUAUGCAAAAGAGAAAAAGAAUGCUAAUAUUCUCUAUUGAUAUUAGAAAAACAGUAAAAUCAUUUUAAACCUACAAUUUCCAGGAAUAUCAGCUCUUCUCUGCACAGCAUCAGAUAAUAAGUAUUUUAUUACAUGGUAUUUUCAAGGUAUGUGUAU